rnacentral:rRNA from 1 species
CAGCCGCCGCGGGAAAACGAAGGGGGCUAGUGUUGCUCGGAAUGACUGGGCGUAAAGGGCGCGUAGGCGGUUGUUACAGUCAGAUGUGAAAUUCCUGGGCUCAACCUGGGGACUGCCUUCAAUACUGGCGAUCUUGAGUAUGAGAGAGGUGUGUGGAACUCCGAGUGUAGAGGUGAAAUUCGUAGAUAUUCGGAAGAACACCAGUGGCGAAGGCGACACACUGGCUCAUUACUGACGCUGAGGCUCGAAAGCGUGGGGAGCGAACAGGAUUAGAUACCCCUGUAGUCCCUGUCUCUUAUAC